AAUCUGGCAAAAGGUUCGGGACAACAGUCGGAAACGAUUGCUAAUACCGGAUGUGCUCGUGGGUGAAAGAUUAAUCGCCUUUUGAUGAGCUCGCGUCUGAUUAGCUAGUUGGUGUGGUAAGAGCGCACCAAGGCGACGAUCAGUAGCUGGUCUGAGAGGAUGACCAGUCACACUGGGUUUGAGACACGGCCCAGACUCCUACGGGAGGCAGCAGUGGGGAAUUUUCCGCAAUGGGCGAAAGCCUGACGGAGCAAUACCGCGUGAGGGAGGAAGGCUCUUGGGUUGUAAACCUCUUUUCUCAGGGAAUAAGAAAGUGAAGGUACUUGAGGAAUCAGCAUCGGCUAACUCCGUCCCAGCAGCCGCGGUAAUACGGAGGAUGCAAGCGUUAUCCGGAAUGAUUGGGUGUAAAGCGUCCGCAGGCGGUUGCUCAAGUUUGCUGUCAAAGAGUCUGGCUCAACCAGAUAAAGGCAGUGGAAACUGAGAGACUAGAGUGCGGUAGGGGCAGAGGGAAUUCCUGGUGUAGCGGUGAAAUGCGUAGAGAUCAGGAAGAACACCGGUGGCGAAAGCGCUCUGCUGGACCGCAACUGACACUGAGGGACGAAAGCUAGGGGAGCGAAUGGGAUUAGAUACCCCAGUAGUC
rnacentral:rRNA from 1 species